rnacentral:rRNA from 1 species
UACGUAGGGGGCAAGCGUUGUCCGGAAUUACUGGGCGUAAAGGGCGCGUAGGCGGCGCUCCAAGUUAGGCGUGAAAGUCCUGGGCUCAACCUGGGAACUGCGCUUAAGACUGGAGUGCUUGAGGAUGGAAGAGGGUCGUGGAAUUCCCAGUGUAGAGGUGAAAUGCGUAGAGAUGUGGAGGAAUACCGAUGGCGAAGGCAGCCUCCUGGGCCAACACUGACGCUCAUGCACGAAAGCGUGGGGAGCAAACAGG